GAUGAACGCUGGCGGCGUGCCUAAUACAUGCAAGUCGAACGGAGAGAGUAGCAAUACUGUCUUAGUGGCGAACGGGUGAGUAACGCGUUGGUGACCUGCCCCGAAGAGAGGGAUAACAGUUCGAAAGGACUGCUAAUACCGCAUGUGGUCAUCGGAUUUGGAAACCGAUGAUUAAAGGAGUAAUCCGCUUCGGGAGGGACCUGCGUCCCAUCAGCUAGUUGGUGAGGUAACGGCCCACCAAGGCUACGACGGGUAAGGGACCUGAGAGGGUGGUCCCUCACAAUGGCACUGGAAACACGGGCCAUACACCUACGGGUGGCAG
rnacentral:rRNA from 1 species